rnacentral:snoRNA from 1 species
GAUGAUUGGGUUUUCAUGUGCAUGUGUGAGAUGUGCCUCCAACAAAUCUUGUUACGAUGUUGGCACAUUACUCGUCUGAUG